ACCUGCCUCAUACAGGGGGAUAACAGUUAGAAAUGACUGCUAAUACCGCAUAAGACCACAGCUCCGCAUGGUGCAAGGGUAAAAACUCCGGUGGUAUGAGAUGGACCCGCGUCUGAUUAGGUAGUUGGUGGGGUAACGGCCUACCAAGCCGACNAUCAGUAGCCGACCUGAGAGGGUGACCGGCCACAUUGGGACUGAGACACGGUCCAAACUCCUACGGGAGGCAGCAGUGGGGAAUAUUGCACAAUGGGGGAAACCCUGAUGCAGCGACGCCGCGUGAGCGAUGAAGUAUUUCGGUAUGUAAAGCUCUAUCAGCAGGGAAGAAAAUGACGGUACCUGACUAAGAAGCACCGGCUAAAUACGUGCCAGCAGCCGCGGUAAUACGUAUGGUGCAAGCGUUAUCCGGAUUUACUGGGUGUAAAGGGAGCGUAGACGGAGUGGCAAGUCUGAUGUGAAAACCCGGGGCUCAACCCCGGGACUGCAUUGGAAACUGUCAAUCUAGAGUACCGGAGAGGUAAGCGGAAUUCCUAGUGUAGCGGUGAAAUGCGUAGAUAUUAGGAGGAACACCAGUGGCGAAGGCGGCUUACUGGACGGUAACUGACGUUGAGGCUCGAAAGCGUGGGGAGCAAACAGGAUUAGAUACCCUGGUAGUCCACGCCGUAAACGAUGACUACUAGGUGUCGGGCAGCAAAGCUGUUCGGUGCCGCAGCAAA
rnacentral:rRNA from 1 species